AUUUGGCCUCCAUUGACUUACAUUAGCUUGCGACAGCUGUAUGUUUACGCCCGCUGUAUACAGCAUAGACAUACACGCGGAUAGCUCAAAAUGUGUACAGAUAACACGGCAGUUGGCUUAAGAAAGUGGGCGACUAUGUUUACGCAAAGUCAUG